GUAGGUGGCAAGCGUUGUCCGGAAUUAUUGGGCGUAAAGCGCGCGCAGGCGGUUCUUUAAGUCUGAUGUGAAAGCCCACGGCUCAACCGUGGAGGGUCAUUGGAAACUGGAGAACUUGAGUACAGAAGAGGAAAGCGGAAUUCCACGUGUAGCGGUGAAAUGCGUAGAGAUGCGGAGGAACACCAGUGGCGAAGGCGGCUUUCUGGUCUGUAACUGACGCUGAGGCGCGAAAGCGUGGGGAGCAAACAGGAUUAGAUACCCUGGUAGUCCACGCCGUAAACGAUGAGUGCUAAGUGUUAGGGGGGGUUUUCCGCCCCCCUUAGUGCUGCAGCUAACGCAUUAAGCACUCCGCCUGGGAGUACGGCCGCAAGGCUG
rnacentral:rRNA from 1 species